rnacentral:rRNA from 1 species
GAUGAACGCUGGCGGCGUGCUUAGCACAUGCAAGUCGAACGGUGAAGCUCCAGCUUGCUGGAGUGGAUCAGUGGCGAACGGGUGAGUAACACGUGAGCAACCUGCCCCUGACUCUGGGAUAACAGCCGGAAACGGCUGCUAAUACCGGAUAUGCACCAUGAACGCAUGUUCUGUGGUGGGAAAGAUUUUUCGGUUGGGGAUGGGCUCGCGGCCUAUCAGCUUGUUGGUGAGGUAAUGGCUCACCAAGGCGUCGACGGGUAGCCGGCCUGAGAGGGUGACCGGCCACACUGGGACUGAGACACGGCCCAGACUCCUACGGGAGGCAGCAGUGGGGAAUAUUGCACAAUGGGCGAAAGCCUGAUGCAGCAACGCCGCGUGAGGGAUGACGGCCUUCGGGUUGUAAACCUCUUUUAGCAGGGAAGAAGCGAGAGUGACGGUACCUGCAGAAAAAGCGCCGGCUAACUACGUG